UACGAAGGGGGCUAGCGUUGUUCGGAAUCACUGGGCGUAAAACGCACGUAGGCGGAUUGUUAAGUCGGGGGUGAAAUCCUGAGGCUCAACCUCAGAACUGCCUUCGAUACUGGCGAUCUUGAGUCCGGAAGAGGUUGGUGGAACAGCUAGUGUAGAGGUGAAAUUCGUAGAUAUUAGCUAGAACACCAGUGGCGAAGGCGGCUCACUGGCCCGGUACUGACGCUGAGGUGCGAAAGCGUGGGGAGCAAACAGG
rnacentral:rRNA from 1 species